GCUUAGCUGUUGAUAGGGACAUACUACAUGUGUAAAUGUGUGCAGAGCUCUUUAUUCAACAAGGUCGUUGGGUCUAGUCCACUUUUCAGAAUGCAUGUUAUAUCCGUGAAAUCCACUUCAGACUAAUUGUCAACUUUAGAAAUUAAUUCAACCUUCAAACAAUUGGAAUUGCUUUAUUUAGGCAUAGAGUGGUACUUGUGAACUUCUGUGUCUUGUUUCCUUUUCUGUUUUUCCUCUUCCUUGUAUCAUUUCUUCCAUAAACACUGAAAGCUCCCAUAUCUUUUUGGACAUACAUAUAAUUGAUAAUUAGAAACAGAGACAGGGAAAAAAAAGCUUGAUGUAAUAAAUCACAGUGUGGAAAAGACAUUUGGGAAACCUUGAAAUGUUUGAGUUUUUUUAUGCAGUCGAAAAAUUUGAAAGAAAAAAAAACCUUGAGCUUAAUCAUAGGUUAGACACACAAGAUGGAGUCAUUGAAGCCAUGCGGAUAGCAUUUUUGUUUAAAAAAGGAGGGAGAAAAAGCUUUGUCCUGAAGCAGGGUGACUUUUAGAUCAGGUCCCUGAUAUGGCCAAUGGUCCAGUCCACAUCUGCUGUGAUUGCAACACCUGCCAAGUGACGCUGUCGAGCCUGCCCUUUGUUAACAAUCUCCCGAAGCACACAAACUACUGAACUUUUUCUUCCCCUUGAUUCCUGUGCCCUCUUUUAAUUUUUUAUGGCUGAAAAAUUACUAUUCAAAACUUGUGGUAACUAGAACAAUUUAUCAAUUCUGCAGUCCCCAAGUGGUGACAAUAAAAGGCCCAUAAACAUCUAAAGCGUCCAUCUAUGACAAAAGCGGUAGUGAGAUUACCUGUAUUUCAUAGUGUGUAAUGUCAAGUUUUUUUAUCGAUUAAAACGUGAAGUCAGCUUCCUCUCUCC
rnacentral:sRNA from 1 species